GGGGGCGACAUGGUUUCGACGCCGGUGACAACCCCUGCGGUGCAUGCCGAGAGCGUGAUGUAUCUCGUAAAUCCAACAUCACGACUAAAUAGUCGCAAACGACGACAACUACGCUCAGGGCGCGCUGGCAGCGUAAAAACUGCUAGCUUCUAGCCCGGCCCCGAAGUGAUGUGCCCAUUCAUCACGGAGGGGAUACGAGCCAAGACUGAUGGGAUCGCGAUCGGUAGCGUCCUCAUGCCGGUCGUUAAACCUAAGAGGAAUCGCGUCGCUGGAUCCUGACCGUCGGAGCCAGAGGCGUUAAAGCAAAAGACGGAAUCUAAGCAUGUAGAGCCAAUGGGCGCGUGCUGGCGGACGCGGGUUCAAUUCCCGCCGCCUCCACCA
rfam:Halomonas sp. PBN3 contig21, whole genome shotgun sequence.